rnacentral:pre_miRNA from 1 species
AAAAAGACAAACCCUAGUUUCCGUGUCUAACGUUUGACUGUCCGUCUUAUUUAAAAAAAUUAUGAAAAAAUUAAAAAGAUAAGUCACGCAUAAAAUAUUAAUCAUUUAUCAUCUAACAACAAUGAAAAUACUAAUUAUAAAAAAAGUUUUAUAUAAGACGGACAGUCAAACGUUGGCACGGAAACCCAUGUUUUACCUAUU